rnacentral:tmRNA from 1 species
GGGGUCGUUACGGAUUCGACAGACACUGCCUGCGCAUUAACUGCAACUGCUGGUGGUUCCAGCCUAAUCAGCCGCAGAAAUAUAACUGCAAAAAAUACAAACACUUACGCUUUCGCUGCCUAAACCACAGCUUGCGUGACUUUAUCAGGCUCGUCGGUGGCUUGACUAAAGUUCUAAUUUAGCCGAAUAGGCAGUCUGGAGCGUUUCGGCCAGUCUGAUGAAAAUUUAGAAACUCGCCUGCUGAGCAUUCUUGAGACUUUUUAGCUAACAGGUCAAAAAUCAAGAAGUCCUAUGGUUGUAGACGUUGGUGAUGCAAGGUGUUUGGACCGGGGUUCAAAUCCCCGCGGCUCCAUGA